rnacentral:tmRNA from 1 species
GGGGGCGUUUAUGGAUUCGACGGGGAUAGUUCGAGCAUGGGUUGCGGGUAGCAGGGAGUCGUCUGCUUCAUCAACGCUAAAGCCAAUUAAAUGGCAAAACACAAAACAACUACGCUUUAGCAGCUUAAUAACCUGUUAGCGUGCUCCUACCUAGCAUCGCCCAUGUGACUAGACUAGGGGCUAACAUGUAGUGGGAUACGCCGCUCGGUCUCCGCCUGGGGUCGACGGAAGAAGAUAAUCAGGCUGACCCAACGCGUAGUCGGUUACGGGACGACGCUCGGGUGACAUCAAUACCGUGACUACACCCGUAGAAGCCUGUGUGGCGUUGUCUUCGGACAGGGGUUCAAAUCCCCUCGCCUCCACCA